GUGGGGAAUUUUGGACAAUGGGGGCAACCCUGAUCCAGCCAUUCCGCGUGAGUGAAGAAGGCCUUCGGGUUGUAAAGCUCUUUCGGCAGGAACGAAACGGCUGUGGCUAAUACCCACGGCUAAUGACGGUACCUGAAGAAGAAGCACCGGCUAACUACGUGCCAGCAGCCGCGGUAAUACGUAGGGUGCGAGCGUUAAUCGGAAUUACUGGGCGUAAAGCGUGCGCAGGCGGUUGUGUAAGACAGAUGUGAAAUCCCCGGGCUUAACCUGGGAACUGCGUUUGUGACUGCACGACUGGAGUACGGCAGAGGGGGGUGGAAUUCCACGUGUAGCAGUGAAAUGCGUAGAGAUGUGGAGGAACACCGAUGGCGAAGGCAGCCCCCUGGGCUAGUACUGACGCUCAUGCACGAAAGCGUGGGGAGCAAACAGGAUUAGAUACCCGAGUAGUCC
rnacentral:rRNA from 1 species